AUCCUCUGCAGACGACUGAAAUGACCAAGCGGGUCGUGUAAGCGGUCAAGUAGCCUUGUUGUUACGAGUCGCUGAGCGUCAGCCCGAUCCUUGGCUCGAUUUGU
rnacentral:ncRNA from 1 species